rnacentral:sRNA from 1 species
UUGAGGAUCGCUUUAAUUUGUGUAAAGA